UGGGGAAUUUUGGACAAUGGGCGAAAGCCUGAUCCAGCAAUGCCGCGUGUGUGAAGAAGGCCUUCGGGUUGUAAAGCACUUUUGUCCGGAAAGAAAUCCUUGGCUCUAAUACAGCCGGGGGAUGACGGUACCGGAAGAAUAAGCACCGGCUAACUACGUGCCAGCAGCCGCGGUAAUACGUAGGGUGCAAGCGUUAAUCGGAAUUACUGGGCGUAAAGCGUGCGCAGGCGGUUUGCUAAGACCGAUGUGAAAUCCCCGGGCUCAACCUGGGAACUGCAUUGGUGACUGGCAGGCUAGAGUAUGGCAGAGGGGGGUAGAAUUCCACGUGUAGCAGUGAAAUGCGUAGAGAUGUGGAGGAAUACCGAUGGCGAAGGCAGCCCCCUGGGCCAAUACUGACGCUCAUGCACGAAAGCGUGGGGAGCAAACAGGAUUAGAUACCCUGGUAGUCCACGCCCUAAACGAUGUCAACUAGUUGUUGGGGAUUCAUUUCCUUAGUAACGUAGCUAACGCGUGAAGUUGACCGCCUGGGGGAGUACGGUCGCAAGAUUAAAACUUAAAGGAAUUGACGGGGUCAUAGCUGUUUCCU
rnacentral:rRNA from 1 species